GGCUCUUUUCUUUGUGGCAGUUCUGUGGCAGGAAGAGCCUGGGACUAUGGAUGAGCAGAGACUCUUAGAAGGGCUAUGGUUUCUCUGCUCCUUCAUGCUCGAGCAUCCUCAGAAUGUGGCUGCUCUCAAGGUACAGCACAAUCGUUCCUGGACCCUAGUUUCUCUAUGCCCACUCUUAGCAGGGAGGACCCAGAGAGUGGCUUUGUUCUUGAAUGGAUUUCAUGCUCACAUCAAAUCAAAUCAGCCUUCCAUCACUAAACUGACCAUGUGCUGCUAACUGGACGUGCUGCACUACAUUGCCUCUAGACUGCACAUACUACGCCUGAGAUACCAGUGAUCCUCACCCCUUGUGCUCUCUGGACCUGCCUGGUCCAUUCUGAUGCCCUAUUUCUGUUUGGCGUUCUCAUAAUUUGGAAACCACUCACUGCUGAUGAUGGCUCCACGUGAACAGGCUAAAGAUACAUGAGAUUACUGCAGAUGGU